CAUGUCCGUAACGCGCGAUUCGAUGUGCUCUGCAUUAAUAAUGCCAGUUAAAGUACAAACCUCUAGUCACGUGCGAAAGGCGUUUACUCGUUAAAAGGUUCAAAGUCUCUAAUCUACGAUUAACUGAUGUUAUUGCAUGUUUUGCACUAACAGAUAGUUUAUUCUUCUAGUUAUCCUGAUAUUUGAUAAAUAAUCAGCUUUAAUAUUGUAGUAACGUGGACAAAUUGCCUAAGAAAUAAUCGGGUGAAUCAUAAACAAUGUUGCGAGAAAACCUAAAUAUCGACAGGACAAAAGGGUCUGGAAACUUCAAUGAACCGAGCAGCCCAUCAAUGUGUCAUCGGUCCUUCAGUCGAAUAGUUACGCGGGAGAAGCCCUACGUGACUAUGACCGCGGACGGUUACGGAACACGUGCGUGCUGGGGCUAUGAGAGAAGACAAAGGGAUGCUUAAGAAGGACGAAUUAACAGACAGUCGUAAGUUGAGAGUCGAGAUGUGAGGAGUCGUUAACUAAGAGUCGAGUUGUGAGGAGUCGAGAGUUGAGUUGUCAAGCUGUUAUGAGUUGUAAACUAUUAAUUGUGAGUUGUCUACAACUAAGUAGAAUCUGGUUAUUAAUAUUGACGAAAUCAAACCUGGCGAAAGAAAGUAUAAUCGAGGAAGCAUGAUUUGCGGGCACUGGCUGCUUGGAAUCAUCGAUACACAUACAGUUGAUUGCUGGAUUAAUCAUCAAUGUUAUUAAGUCUCAUCUUUGUUAUUAAAGAAUAUGUUACCAUUGAUUCAGAGAUACAUACCAAUAGUUUUAAAAGUUGCAGUAGCACCAGAUGGGGCUCACACCUAACAUAUUAAAACGGAAUGAUAACCAGUAAAACAUUGGUUUGGAGGAAAAUCAGGCUACCAUGAUGAAGAAUUUGGCAAACGCCUGUGUAAAUAUUUCAAGCGAUGAUUUUGUAACCAUCAUAAAGUAGACAAAAUGUCAUUUUUAAUUGGUGCAAUAAAAAAAGAAUAAAUAUUUAAAAAUUAAAAUAAAAAUAAAAUACAGAACUAGAUGAAAUUUCUGAAGAGCUACCUUCUCUCCAAUUUCCACAAUUUUUAAA